UACGGAGGAUCCAAGCGUUAUCCGGAUUUAUUGGGUUUAAAGGGUGCGUAGGCGGCUUAUUAAGUCAGGGGUGAAAGACGGUGGCUCAACCAUCGCAGUGCCCUUGAUACUGAUGAGCUUGAAUACACUUGAGGUAGGCGGAAUGUGACAAGUAGCGGUGAAAUGCAUAGAUAUGUCACAGAACACCAAUUGCGAAGGCAGCUUACUAAGGUGCAAUUGACGCUGAGGCACGAAAGCGUGGGGAUCAAACAGG
rnacentral:rRNA from 2 species